UACGUAGGGGGCAAGCGUUGUCCGGAAUGACUGGGCGUAAAGCGCGCGCAGGCGGUCUUUUAAGUCUGAGGUGAAAGGCUGAGGCUCAACCCUGGCAUCGCCUUGGAAACGGGAAGACUUGAGGACUGGAGAGGCAAGGGGAAUUCCACGUGUAGCGGUGAAAUGCGUAGAGAUGUGGAGGAAUACCAGUGGCGAAGGCGCCUUGCUGGACAGUGCCUGACGCUGAGGCGCGAAGGCGUGGGGAGCAAACAGGAUUAGAUACCCUGGUAGUCCACGCGGUAAACGAUGAGUGCUAGGUGUCGGAGGGUACCACCUCCGGUGCCGAAGGAAACCCAAUAAGCACUCCGCCUGGGGAGUACGGUCGCAAGACUGAAACUCAAAGGAAUUGACGGGGGCCCGCACAAGCAGUGGAGCAUGUGGUUUAAUUCGAAGCAACGCGAAGAACCUUACCAGGGCUUGACAUCCCCCUGACGGGCCGAGAGAUCGGUCGUCCCUUCGGGGCAGGGGAGACAGGUGGUGCAUGGUUGUCGUCAGCUCGUGUCGUGAGAUGUUGGGUUAAGUCCCGCAACGAGCGCAACCCUUGAUCAGUGUUACCAGCACGUAGUGGUGGGGACUCACUGAUGACUGCCGGUGACAAACCGGAGGAAGGCGGGGAUGACGUCAAAUCAUCAUGCCCCUUAUGUCCUGGGCCACACACGUGCUACAAUGGGCGGUACAACGGGAAGCAAGAGAGCGAUCUGGAGCGAAACCCUAAAAGCCGUUCGUAGUUCGGAUUGCAGGCUGCAACCCGCCUGCAUGAAGCCGGAAUUGCUAGUAAUCGCGGAUCAGCAUGCCGCGGUGAAUCCGUUCCCGGGCCU
rnacentral:rRNA from 1 species